GCAACUCGCCUACACGAAGUCGGAAUCGCUGUAAUCGCGGAUCAGCAUGCCGCGGUGAAUACGUUCCCGGGCCUUGUACACACCGCCCGUCACACCAUGGGAGUUUGUAACGCCCAAAGUCGGUGGCCUAACCUUUAUGGAGGGAGCCGCCUAAGGCGGGACAGAUGACUGGGGUGAAGUCGUAACAAGGUAGC
rnacentral:rRNA from 1 species